AAAAUAGCGCUGGCGGCAGGCUAACACGAUGCAACGUCGACAGGUAGAGAGAAGCUUGCUUCUCCUUGAGAGCGGCGGACGGGUGAGUAAUGCCUAGGAAUCUGCCUGGUAGUGGGGGAUAACGUUCGGAAACGAGACGCUAAUACCGCAUACGUCCUACGGGAGAAAGCAGGGGACCUUCGGGCCUUGCGCUAUCAGAUGAGCCUAGUCGGAUUAUCUAGUUGGUGAGGUAAUGGCUCACCAAGGCGACGAUCCGUAACUGGUCUGAGAGGAUGAUCAGUCGACACUGGAACUGAGACACGGACCAA
rnacentral:rRNA from 1 species